UGCUCCCGGCAGGGCUUGAACCUGCGACCUUCGCAUCACCAACAAUUGGCUGUUAACCAAGUUAUUAGUACGAAGCUCUAACCAACUGAGCUACGGAAGC